GAUGAACGCUGGCGGCGUGCCUAAUACAUGCAAGUCGAGCGGUAAGGCCCCUUCGGGGGUACACGAGCGGCGGACGGCUGAGUAACACGUAGGAACGUACCCCAAAGUGAGGGAUAAGCACCAGAAAUGGUGUCUAAUACCGCAUGUGCUCUAAGGAGUAAAGCUUCGGCGCUUUGGGAACGGCCUGCGCAUGAUUAGCUUGUUGGUGAGGUAAUGGCUCACCAAGGCGACGAUCAUUAGCUGGUCUGAGAGGAUGAUCAGCCAGACUGGGACUGAGACACGGCCCAGACUCCUACGGGAGGCAGCAGUAGGGAAUUUUCCACAAUGGGGGCAACCCUGAUGGAGCAACGCCGCGUGCAGGAUGAAGGCCUUCGGGUCGUAAACUGCUUUUAUAUGUGACGAAUAUGACGGUAGCAUAUGAAUAAGGAUCGGCUAACUCCGUGCCAGCCGCCGCCGUAA
rnacentral:rRNA from 1 species